AAAAGAAGAAGAAAAAAAC
rnacentral:sRNA from 1 species